AUCCUUACGUGGUAAUGGGGACACCAUUCUUAGGCAGGUGGUUUUUCCUAUGGUGAGGUUCAUCCCUUCCUUUCCAGGGGUGCUGACCACUGAUUUUCCUGAGCUUGGGAAACUCAACUUUAUUUUUGUAGGGAGAGUGGCCUGGUGGCACAGAAUACAA
rnacentral:snRNA from 1 species